rnacentral:rRNA from 1 species
AGUCACUGACAUUAGAUACCCGGGUAGUCCAAGGUGUAAACGCUGCAGACUUGGUGUUGGAAGUCCUUUGGGGGCAUUCAGUGCCGGAGAGAAGUUGUUAAGUCUGCUACUUGGGGAGUACGUCCGCAAGGAUGAAACUUAAAGGAAUUGGCGGGGGAGCACCGCAACGGGAGGAGCGUGCGGUUUAAUUGGAUUCAACACCGUAAACUCACCAGGGAAGACUGUUACAUGAAAGCCGAGAUGAAGACUCUGCUAGAUUUUCAG